GGACCCGCACAAGCGGUGGAGCAUGUGGUUUAAUUCGAUGCAACGCGAAGAACCUUACCUGGUCUUGACAUCCUGCGAACUUUCUAGAAAUAGAUUGGUGCCUUCGGGAACGCAGUGACAGGUGCUGCAUGGCUGUCGUCAGCUCGUGUCGUGAGAUGUUGGGUUAAGUCCCGUAACGAGCGCAACCCCUAUCCUUAUUUGCCAGCACAUCAUGGUGGGAACUAUAAGGAGACUGCCGGUGAUAAACCGGAGGAAGGCGGGGACGACGUCAAAUCAUCAUGCCCCUUAUGUCUUGGGCUUCACGCAUGCUACAAUGGCCGGUACAGAGGGCUGCAAUACCGCAAGGUGGAGCGAAUCCCAAAAAGCCGGUCUCAGUUCGGAUUGAGGUCUGCAACUCGACCUCAUG
rnacentral:rRNA from 1 species